rnacentral:rRNA from 1 species
AGCUCCAAUAGCGUAUAUUAAAGUUGCUGCGGGCAACAAGCUCGCAGUUGGAUUUCUGCCGAGGACGACCGGUCCGCCCUCUGGGUGAGCAUCUGGCUCGGCCUGGGCAUCUUCUUGGAGAACGUAUCUGCACUUGGCUGUGUGGUGCGGUAUUCAGGACUUCUACAGUGAGGAAAUUAGAGUGUUUCCAGCAGGCUCACGCCUUGAAUACAUUAGCAUGGAAUAAUAAGAUAGGACAUCGGUUCUAUGUUGUUGGUUUCUAGAUCGGAGGUAAUGAUUAAUAGGGAUCGUUGGGGGGCAUUCGUACUUAACUGUCAGAGGUGAAAUUCUUGGAUUUGUUAAAGACGGAGUACUGCGAAAGCAUUUGCCAAGGAUGUUUUCAUUGAUCAAGAACGAAAGU